AAACUAACAAGGAUUCCCCUAGUAACGGCGAGUGAAGCGGGAUGAGCUCAAAUUUGAAAUCUGGCAGCCUCCGGUUGUCCGAGUUGUAAACUAGAGAAGCGUUUUCCGUGCCGGCCUGUGUACAAGUCCCUUGGAAUAGGGCGUCAUAGAGGGUGAGAAUCCCGUCCUUGACACAGACCACCGGUGCUAUGUGAUACGCUCUCGACGAGUCGAGUUGUUUGGGGAAUGCAGCUCAAAUUGGGUGGUAAAUUCCAUCUAAGGCUAAAUAUUGGCGAGAGACCGAUAGCGAACAAGUACCGUGAGGGAAAGAUGAAAAGCACUUUGGAAAGAGAGUUAAACAGUACGUGAAAUUGUUGAAAGGGAAACGAUUGAAGUCAGUCAUGCGUGCUCGGACUCAGCUGGGUUCGUCCCAGUCUAUUUCCGGGUGCCGCAGGUCAGCAUCAGUUUCGGGCGGUGGAAAACGGGCGGGGGAAGGUGGCAUCUCCGGAUGUGUUAUAGCCCCCGUUUGGAUGCAUCGCGUGGGACUGAGGAACGCAGCGCGCCCUUCACGGGGUCGGUCUCCGGACACGAACGCGCUUAGGAUGCUGGCAUAAUGCUUUAAA
rnacentral:rRNA from 1 species